rnacentral:rRNA from 1 species
UACGGAGGGUGCAAGCGUUGUCCGGAUUUAUUGGGCGUAAAGAGCGUGUAGGCGGCCUGAAAGGUCAGCUGUGAAAACUCGAGGCUCAACCUCGAGACGUCGGUUGAAACCAUCUGGCUAGAGUCCGGAAGAGGAGAGUGGAAUUCCCGGUGUAGCGGUGAAAUGCGCAGAUAUCGGGAAGAACACCCGUGGCGAAGGCGGCUCUCUGGGACGGUACUGACGCUGAGACGCGAAAGCGUGGGGAGCGAACAGG